AUACAAAAUUUACAAUUAUUUUAUUUAGGAUAAUAUUUAAUAUGCUCUUUAAAAUUUUAAAAAUAUUUUAUUUCUUUCUUUUUCUAAAAUUUACUACUGUGAUUAGAUUUUAGAAUAGUAUAUUAAUAAUUUUAUGAUAAAUUUAAAAAUUUUAAAUAAUAGUCAGAGAUAAAUAAGUAAAUUUUUUUUAAUGUACAAUUAAAAAAAAGAUUUUUUUUUAUUUAGCCCUCUUAUAAAUUUGUUUUAAAAUAGCCUUAUAAAUUUUAUAUUUGCAAAAUUCGUCUUAAUCCUGUCAUGCAGAGCGCCACAUGAGUGUGCUCGGGUGGGUUGGAUAAGUCGAACAUGGUGAACCAAACAGCGUGCUCAUGUUGGGCUCGCAUGACGAAAAUAGAACUAAUCUUGCAAAUAUAAAAUUUAUGAGAUUGUUUUUUAAAAAAAAUUUAAAAGAGGCUAAAUAAAAAACAAAAAAU
rnacentral:lncRNA from 1 species